ACCCGGUUUACCUCCACAUCAUCGUUACAGGAGUUAAAAUAUUGGUUAGAAUUUGCACAGACUUGGUUAGUAUCUCAGUUCAAGAUUUAACUUGAAUUUAACCCAGAACUUUCCUUUAAAUUAGACUUUAAACCUUAGGUCACAUAUCACAGCUUUUCCCAAAGUUUUUUUUUUUUUUUUUUAAACUUUAUUUUCUUACAUAGAAAAAAAGCAUUUUCCAGUUUUUCAAAAAUAUAACCUAAAUUUGACCAGCUAUAUGGUAUGAGAGCAGCUAUAGUCGGAUGGUCUGUGAAAAUGAAAACCGUUAAUGCAUUAACGUGAAGUUGUAGGUAAAGGAAAUAAUUUAACGCUUUUAUUGGGAUGAAGGUGGUGGCAGAAAAAUCAAGGAUGAUAAUGUUAUAAAACCCCCAAAAAACAGACAUCUCUCUUCGAAUAAGAGAGAACAAGAAAAAGAAGAUCUUACAUGACAGUACUAGUCAAAAAAACACUGUAAAUCAGGACGCUCUCUGUGCGAUAUUAAAAAUGAUGUACCUACGUGAGCAUUCAGAAACUGCUAUAAAUUUUAGAGCAUUGAUAAGUCCAGAUACUAAGUAUGUAGAGCACCUGAUAAUUCAUGAAAGCCUACAUGAGCUACUAAGUAGAGCGGGGGUGGGGGGGGGGGGUAACAAUGCAUAAAGUAGUUAAGACCAGAUGUUAAAAAGGCAAGAUGAUGUCAAGGAAAUUCACUCCAUGUGGAAGAUUAACAUGACCUUCUCAAAAAAAGAAACUCAAGCACAGUCCCAUUAAUAACAGAGUUGAAGCCUUCAAUGACGUAUCGGUAAAAUGAUGUCCAGAUAGCUUCAUUUCAACAGGAAGCGAUCAGCUGCCAGUUUUUGUGAACAGUAACACCUGUCUUCAGCGAUUUAGCUUAUCAACCUUGACGGCACGAAGUAGAAAAAAAUGCAUUUAUCUAAUGCAAAGCACAUUACGAUGACAUAAAGGAAACAAUUCUCUUUGUUUGAUUACAGACCGAAGAGAAAAUUGUUUCUAGCUUAUAUAUGUUUUACAGUACAUAAGUUCAUCCAUACAUGUAGUGAUGUUAUCCACGGCCCCGUGGAGCCCGGUUUGGCAUACGCUCUCAACGGACUGAGAGAGAUGAGGCACGAGAGAAAAACAUGGAAAGCAACUUGAUGCAUAAAUACCUUUCAGCUGGCGCAGGGAUGUGAUUGGGCCGAGACAUUCCGGAUAUUUCAACGCGAUUGGGUUUGCGCGAGGGGGGAGGGGCGGGGACUAAAACAUUUGAAUAAAGAAAAAACUUCAAUGUUUUAAAACACUGUGACAUGUCACAAAUACCUGCAUCGGACCUAAUUUUGCAUUACUUAAGAAUUCCUUUUAAAAGAGCUAUACUUCAGAAGGGUAAUUUA
ensembl:lncRNA